UACGUAGGGUGCGAGCGUUGUCCGGAAUUAUUGGGCGUAAAGAGCUCGUAGGCGGUUUGUUGCGUCGGCCGUGAAAACCUGCAGCUUAACUGUGGGCCUGCGGCCGAUACGGGCAGACUUGAGUUCGGUAGGGGAGACUGGAAUUCCUGGUGUAGCGGUGGAAUGCGCAGAUAUCAGGAAGAACACCAACGGCGAAGGCAGCUCGCUAGGACGGUACUGACGCUGAGACGCGAAAGCGUGGGGAGCGAACAGG
rnacentral:rRNA from 1 species